rnacentral:rRNA from 1 species
UGGGGAAUAUUGCACAAUGGGGGAAACCCUGAUGCAGCGACGCCGCGUGGGUGAAGAAGUAUUUCGGUAUGUAAAGCCCUAUCAGCAGGGAAGAAAAUGACGGUACCUGAUCAAGAAGCCCCGGCUAACUACGUGCC